UACGUAGGGGGCGAGCGUUGUCCGGAUUUAUUGGGCGUAAAGGGCGUGUAGGCGGCUUUUUGAGUCGGGGGUGAAAAUCCAGGGCUCAACCCUGGGACUGCCUCCGAAACUGGGAAGCUUGAGUGCUCUAGAGGGUAGUGGAAUUCCCGGUGUAGCAGUGAAAUGCGUAGAGAUCGGGAGGAACACCAGUGGCGAAGGCGACUGCCUGGGGAGUAACUGACGCUGAGGCGCGAAAGCUGGGGGAGCAAACGGG
rnacentral:rRNA from 1 species